ensembl:ncRNA C13B9.5 ncRNA
UUAUUAAAGAACGUUCGCGUUAAAUAUGAAAGGUGAAAAAUUAUAUCAAACUUUGCAAACAUAUAUACGGAGAGAAUCUUCAAAGAAAGUUAUAAAUUUAAAUAUGCAAGGACACAAAAAAAGAUCAUCUUAAUCAUAUGAUAAAGUAAUGAUAAGAAUAAUGUAUUCAACCAAAAAAAUUGGUCUGGAAUGAUGACUUUUGGUUGG